CCGUGCUAGGCGGGGGGUCAGCGGUCCCCUGUACCUGCAACCCGCUACAGCAGGGCUGAAUUCCUUCUUGAGGCUUGAGGCGUCCGCACGGGAGCGGGCCACCGGGCGUUGAGGGUUGGAUCCCAUGCGAUGGGUCGCCGGUGAACCGGGUCAGGGCCGGAAGGCAGCAGCCCUAAGCCGGAAGACUCAUGCGCCGUGGGGCUAUCUGGCCGGAGCCGCGGAGCACGUCACCCGGCGAGCGCCGCCUGUCGAGGGAAGGUGCACGG
rfam:Planctomycetes bacterium DG_20 WOR1_52_54_50901, whole genome shotgun sequence.